AUGUCGGCAAUUUUCACCAGAGUUUGUGUCUCUACUUUGAAGUAGUCGGCGACUUCUCUCUGUAUUUCGCUAGUGAUUCUUGCAUUGUCGCUGAUUAGCUUUUGUAUGUACACCGAUAGACGCGGAAUUUGCAUUCGUGUGCCACAGUGGAAGCAAUGAUGUUCUCUUAAGCUUCAGCCUUCAUGUGGAAUUCUUUUUUAUUUUUUCUGUUUAGGUUAUAUGCGAGAUUCUAAAUGUGACUGUAUAUGGGUUUGUUCAGGCUGUGGUGAUGAAAAAGUUUUCCUAUGAGUUUGAAUUUGACUAUGAUGAUGGGGAUAUUGAUUGUUAUAAACCUUCUAGAAGGGGAGGUUGAGGAUGGUUCCAAGAGGUUAGAGCAGUUGUAGUGUUAUAACUCCACUACCGCCAUAAAAGUAGAAGAGAAAUAGCAAGAACGAGAGCCAACUCUUCAAGACUUAGCGACUUUAAGCAUGUCAAUCGAAAUUGCAAAAAAACAAUCAUUCUGGCUCAGUUACAACCAUUGUUAUGCGCAAUUUGGGCAAUUGCUUUGGCAAAGAGGAGAUAAUGGAAAACUCUCCAACAGAAGAUGAGUCAUCCACUACCCUGAUGAGUGUGGAGGAAAAAUUUAGGAUUGUGAAGAGUGUUGGUGAAGAGUGUAAGUAGGAAGAUGAACUCUUGAAUCUUGUAAUCAAGAAGCCCCAACCCACUUGCUAUGAAGCCUUCAAACAUUCUUGCAGAAUGCAUAUAGCACGUGUAGUGAUGGAUCUUCCUCCUUAUAAAAUUAACCCUAAGAGAAUGAAAGGUUUGCAUCAAUCUGUUGAAAUGGGAGAGUAGUUUAGGCGAUUAUUAGCAAAACCUCAACAAGAAUUUCCAGAAAGUGUGAUGGAAAUUAGAGAAAAGGAUAAUUUAAUGUGGUGGAACUAACUCGCAAGUCUUUAUUCCCUGCAACUGCGUAUGAUCUUUGUAUCAAGCUGAAGGAAAAAGAAAUUCUUGCAAAACUGACUCAUAAUGCUAAUAUUGGGUUGAACUCCUCUUUCCAUCAGGUCCUGCUCAAGCUCAAAAUUUAAGGGAUUCACUUGCAAAAGCAAAAUCUGAUAUUGUAGUGAAGGUGUUCUUUUUAUCCUGCAUUUUUUGUGCUAUAGUAAUAGUACUACUUAAAGAACAAAUCAAUAGGUUGACACCAACUGGAU
rnacentral:lncRNA from 1 species